AUUGAACGCUGGCGGUAUGCUUAACACAUGCAAGUCGAACGGAAACGAUACUAGCUUGCUAGUAGUCGUCGAGUGGCGGACGGGUGAGUAACGCGUAGGAAUCUGCCCUCGAGAUCGGGAUAACUUGGCGAAAGCUAGGCUAAUACCGGAUAAGACUACGUUUCAUAAGAAAUGUGGAAAAAGGAGUCUCAACCUUCACUCGAGGAUGAGUUCGCGGACCAUUAGCUUGUUGGUGAGAUAAAAGCUCACCAAGGCUUCGAUGGAUAGCCGGCCUGAGAGGGUGAUCGGCCACACUGGAACUGAGACACGGUCCAGACUCCUACGGGAGGCAGCAGUGGGGAAUAUUGCGCAAUGGGCGAAAGCCUGACGCAGCAACACCGUGUGAGCGAUG
rnacentral:rRNA from 1 species